rnacentral:rRNA from 1 species
UAAUACGUAGGGUUCAAACGUUGUCCGGAUUUACUGGGCGUAAAGAGCGCGUAGGCGGUUUGUUAAGUCUCAUGUGAAAUCUCCCGGCUCAACUGGGAGGGGUCAUGGGAAACUGACAGGCUUGAGGGUAGCAGAGGAAAGCGGAAUUCCCGGAGUAGUGGUGAAAUGCGUAGAUACCGGGAGGAACAUCAGAGGCGAAGGCGGCUUUCUGGGCUAUUCCAGACGCUGAGGCGCGAAAGCGUGGGGAGCAAACCGGAUUAGAUACCCGGGUAGUCCACGCCCUAAACGAUGGAUACUAGAUAUGGGGGGUAUCGACCCCUCCCGUGUCGCAGCUAACGCAUUAAGUAUCCCGCCUGAGGAGUACGGCCGCAAGGCUA